UCACUGAGAUCCUCUUGCUUCUGCCUCCCCAGUGCUGGAAUUAAAGGUGUGCGCCUCCACCGUUCAGCCUAUCACUCAUAGCUCAACUAUGCUUAAUGACUGAAAGCAAAGUAGCCUAAGUCAGUGAGCGGCCGCUGACAGAUCAUAGCUCCGCCACCUACUAGCUGAUCUUGUUGCUCAAACUCAGAUCCAGUGUCACCAUCUGGAAACUGAGCAACACCCACUUCCAGAUGGUUGUUAGGAUUAGAGACAAGCAGGUGAGGUGCUUGAUAGAGCUCAGUGUGACGUAGUAACUCAGUAAGUGACAGCCGGAGGAGUCUAGGGAUGAAGAGCUGCUGUGAUGUGGACAGCAAAGUGCCACCCCCAAUGGGCUGAUUACACAUGCACCAGGGAGACUGAAGAAGCCACUUAAAGAGUCCGUGACAGAUUCAAAGCCAAGCUCAUAAAUGCUACUUCCUGGAUGUUGAGGCGCCUGUAAACAUACCCUAAUCUAAUUUCUGCUUAUAUCUUUAUGAUUCAAUUCUAUUUUGUAACAGAAGCAGACAUUCCCAGCAACUCAUUUCUAGGAGAUUGGCAAAAUUUAUGGCCCAGGCAUUGAGUCUCAGUCUCUGUGCCUGGGUCCAAGAGCUUACACCAGGACGAGCAUUUCAGAUCAGUGCAUCCCUGUCUGGCUGUGCUGUGGAGUUUCUCUGUAGACAGGAUGCCUUCUUCAUGCUUUUCAAACAUGUUCCAGUUGAUAAAACCCAAGGGCACAGUUUCCAGGGAUGCAGCUACUGGGUGGAGUGAAGCGAACCAUGAAGAGCUGAAAUAAAGGAGCAAGAUUUACUGAACACAGGCUUUUGCAGGUGCCAGGCACUUUCCCUGUUAUGAUCAAUGAGGAAACUGGAGUUCACAGAGAUUGACGAGAUCACCGGCCCGAAAGAACUGGGAUUGCAACUCAAGUGACACCACAUGGAUCUUUGCUGGUCAGUAAAGUGGAUGAGCUGACAAUUGAUUUUUUAAAAAAGUCUGCAGGUACAAAGCACUUUGAAGACGCAAGGCUUUAACUUCGUGGAGAACUUUCUGGAACCUGUAGUCCUUUGUACCGUUCCUGGGGUCCCCAGGUCACUGCAAGGCUGAGUGACUGUCCCUUAAGGAAUGUUUGGACACUUCCGUGCUUCAGGUCAGGCUCACCUAGGUUUAGCGCAGAAGCUAAUUCUACUUUGGAGACCCUGCUAGAACGGUUGGGGUGUCCUGAGAGGAGUGGCUGCCAUGAGAAGAGGUUUGGAGUCUUCCUCCCAGGUCCCGCUCCAUUUCAAGCUUCAGGUGAGUUGUGUGGUGGCAUGGGAGGCAGAGACUCAGAACUAUGCCGGUCAUUUUGUUUUCCUUAAUUCUACUGUUGAGGGUUCAGGUGAUUUUCUAACCUAGCAGCCUCCAGCAGUGAACCUCCAGGGAACAGAUGUCUGUCUCCAGCAAGCGACAGUAGGGGGCGCCAAACCCGCACAAUUUGGCCCGCGGACCCUGCCUGGCAGUGACUGGCCCCGAGGCACCCCCUUUUCUGGACAUUUCGCAUAGAUUCCCACAGCGGUGCAGCAGAGAACACACUUUGUGCAGGCGACAAACAGCCCUCUUGUCCCAGCCGUUGCCUUAGAGAGUCGCAGGGGCCUUCACCCCACAGACAGAAUCAUCGUGUCAGCUUAGAUUUCUGUUAGCUCUUAAGGCAGGUCCAGAGUCCAGGACCCCGGGGAUGAUGUACCAGAACCGGGCCAUGCUUGUCCAACCCCUAAAGUUAUUUCAAAGGCUUUGCAAUGUUUUCAUUUGUACACAAACUGGGAAAAGCUGCGGAGUUUUGGCCCCGAGCGUUUAAGGCUGUCCUUGGUCAAACACAUUUCCAGUUCUCCUCCCCGGGAGUUGACACACAAAUCUACUUGCCAACAUUUGCUUAGUAAUUUAUCUCCCAGGCUUGCAAAAGUUAUAUAAAGAAGCCAACUACCCCGGGUGAGACUUUUAUGUUUUUGAAAUAUAUAUAUAUAUAUAUAAUUAGCAUUGGGACCCAAGAGACAGUUCAGCUUUAAGAGCCAGUAUUUAAGAAUUGUUGCAAGCACAGGACCCAGUACUCACAAGGGGAGUUCAUAGCUGCCUGUAACUCCAGCUCCGGGGUUAUCUGGAUUCCUUUGAUUGUCACAGGCACCUGAGCUCACAUACACCUGCCUACCCCUCUCUACACAUAAUGUAAACAAAUCUUUAAAAAAAGAAUCAGCAUCAAUAUAGAAGCUCCUCACCCCCCAUCCUCCUCCUCUGCACUGCUUUCCACAGCUUUGCUUUUCUCCUGUGGGGCAGAGGCCUGAGGGAGGACUGAGGCGGAGGACUGAGGCGGAGGACUGAGGUGGAGGACUGAGGCGGAGGAUUGACGUGUCUUAGUUCUCCCACAUUCACAUUUCGAGAGGCAGAUUUCUUCCAGACUCCCGAGGACGCAGAGAUUAGGAAGCUGCCUUUUGUAGCGCUUCAAACACUCAGUGCGGCUCUUUUCACGUGGCUUCGCACUCCAGUGGAAUGGAAGGACAUGUUCUUUCAGGACAUUGCUUCAGGUCCUGCCUCCAGGUUCCUGUCUUGAGUUCCUGCCCUGAAUUCCCUCAGUGAUGGAGUGUGGCCUGAGAGCUGUAAUAUGAAAUAAAUCCU